AUGGUGCGCGAGCCGACCAGUUCAAUGGAGGCAGUAGCACGGGGCAGCAGCAGCAGCAUGGAGGGCGGCCACUUGAUCGGCAAGGUCCUAGAACUGCAAAUAGGAGUGGCAGUGGCAAUCACGAUGCAAAUGCAAGUGGUGCCCAAAGAUCUUGCAAAGCCUAAAGCACAAAGGUGGGGGUGCAACCUAAAGAAAAAAGAGACACAAAUUCAAGUGGAAAAGGACGCACCGCCAAGAGAUGGCAAUUUGGAGACCCGUAGAUCUGUACGGCUUGUCAAGAAGAAGACCAAGGAGCAAGGACGUCAACAGCCCAUACCCUGUUGCUUAGAAUCUGCUUAA
rnacentral:rRNA from 1 species